rnacentral:misc_RNA from 1 species
AAAAAUAACAAAUAGUGAGCAAUCAAGCCAAUGAAACACAGGGUUUGAUUAGUUAAACAAAGGACUUAAAAAUAAGAGAAAAUAAACCAAAGCUGACAUGAUCUGAAAGUUACACGACUAUAAAAACACUAUUACAAUCAUGGUUUCAAAUAACCGCCAUUAUGUAACGUAAAGGCCAUUAUUUGUAGAUUUUGGAAGGGUCUGUUAUGCCAUACACCAUUAUUUAUAGGCAAAUUUUUAGUUGCAGAUGUACCGUUACGUAACGGUCGUAAUGGUUGUUACAUCAAUUUUGAACUCUACUGCAAUCUCAUUCACAUGAAAACAGUGUUUUUUUAUUAUCUUUUCUUUGUCUGCGUAUACUUCUAUGCCACAGCUACAUUUCUUCCAUAUUCUCUCAUUUUCACCCAACUUUCUCUUUUCUUCUUCUACAAAAUCUCUCCCUUAUUGUUUGCUAAUUUAAUAUCAUUAAUUGCACUUUAUUUUACAAAGCUACUUCUUGCAAAAACGUGUGUUAUUUGCUAUUUUUCCUAUUUCUUUUUAUUAUCUGCCUUUUUAUUUUGCAUAUUUGUUGAAAAAAAUUAUUGUUGAUCUUAGAUUUGUUAUUAAGUUUAUAGUUUGAAGGGUUAGUUUAUAGAUCUAUAGGUUUAUUUUUUGUAUUUGUACUUAUUAUAUAGCUGCGUAUCUUAAUUUUACUUGUAUCUAUAAAUAUAUAGUCAUUUCAUGAACUUUGUAAAUUU